CCGCACCCACGAAACAUUCUAAUUAUAACACAGUAAUCUUUGCGAAUAAUCGUCUCUCCAAGCCAACGAGCAGCUUCAUCGACUUCUCCUGGGCUUCAGCCGCUCUUGGUUUGUUAAUCCCUUCCUCGAAACCCUAGUGUUUCCAUAAUUCUAUCCCCAAAUCCCAACCGAUUUCUCGGUGGAAGUACCGAUGGAGAACGUCCCACCGCAUGACGAGAAGCAGCGUCUCGUCUCGUCUCGUCUCGUCCUUCCUCGUCGGCCAGACCGCCGACACCGCCACGCAGUUCCUCGAGGGUUCUUUGUCUGCCCACGGACCUGGGUUUAGAGCGCUGAGUUGGAAAUUUAGGGUUUUGAUGUCAGGCGUUGCGUAGUUCAGUGAAGAUACCGAGCGGCUUAUUUUGGAUUUGAAUGCGUUGUAUGGAUCGUACGGGCCACGAGUUGGAAGCUUGAGGAAGCUAUCCGGCUGUUCUAUGCUGAGAACGACAGUGAUGCAGUGGCAUCAUUUCCCUUGCCACCGCCAGUGAAUGAAAGCCCUAGGAAAAGGGAGAAUGUUGGGUUGAACCAAAACAUAGGGCAAGGUGCUGGAGAUGAUGAAGUGCGUGCGCCCUUACCGGUCAAAAGGGAUACUUUGUGGUCAGGGGACUGUGUGGCGAAAAUGCAUUAUGCAGGUUGCAUUGUGGGUGCAUAUGUGAUAAAACACUUGUACCAAAGUAUACAGAGGCUGUGCAGACAAUGGCAGCUACCUUGGAGGACACGGAAGGGCCUAUCAGGUUAUGUGCCAUUCGUGAUGAGCCUAAACAUGAGAAAGUUGCUGAAACUAGGAAAACCCGUCUAUCCUGCACUUCCUGAAGAACCAAAAGGAAGCAGGGAACUUCUUUGUACAGUUGGAAUUCGUCUUCCUGAUUGACAGAGGCUGACCGGUAAAGUUUUUGUGUUCUUUCUGCUGCUUUCAAUUGGAGGACGGGAAAGCAAGACCUUUCCAUUUCACACUGGCAAUUCCUGGCGCAUCAAUAGUCUUAAACUAUGAGAGCAACCUAACUUCUGAAGAAGCAGGAAAUAGGGCUACUUGUGGUUGAAGCAGAAAAAAGCAGCAAAGUGCUGCUUCUCUUUUGAGAGUGCAAGCCAAGGGCAUGUUUUGCGUACAAUUUGGCAUUCACUCAAGUAGGCCAUGAACCAAAACGGAGCAUGCAUGGUUAAGGCGGUCUAGAGUUUGCUUUGCAAUUUAAGGCCUCUUUGUUUGUCUGUCUGUAUCUGGACAUCCGCUACGGGCAUUUGGUUGGCUCGAAGUGGAACCGGUUCUUGAAAUGUGCUCCACUGAACUCCCCUUUAAACCUCUUUAUUUAUUUUUUGAGCCCCAUGCUAUCCCGAGUUCUAACUUUUUUAACUUGCCCUCCCUGAUUUCUCAAACCAUGAUCUUCUAAAUAUUCUUUUUAUAAAUAGACCUGAAAGGCAUUCAUGCAAGAGAGGUGUAAUGCUUACAUGCAUGACCAUCACCCACAUCAAAGCCCCAUAUAUUUAUUUAUUUAUUUUGGU